rnacentral:rRNA from 1 species
UUAAGUUAUUAAGGGCGCACGGUGGAUGCCUUGGCACUAGAAGCCGAUGAAGGACGUUACUAACGACGAUAUGCUUUGGGGAGCUGUAAGUAAGCUUUGAUCCAGAGAUUUCCGAAUGGGGAAACCCAGCAUGAGUUAUGUCAUGUUAUCGAUAUGUGAAUACAUAGCAUAUCAGAAGGCACACCCGGAGAACUGAAACAUCUUAGUACCCGGAGGAAGAGAAAGAAAAUUCGAUUCCCUUAGUAGCGGCGAGCGAAACGGGAAGAGCCCAAACCAACAAGCUUGCUUGUUGGGGUUGUAGGACACUCUGUACGGAGUUACAAAGGACGACAUUAGACGAAUCAUCUGGAAAGAUGAAUCAAAGAAGGUAAUAAUCCUGUAGUCGAAAAUGUUGUCUCUCUUGAGUGGAUCCUGAGUACGACGGAGCACGUGAAAUUCCGUCGGAAUCUGGGAGGACCAUCUCCUAAGGCUAAAUACUCUCUAGUGACCGAUAGUGAACCAGUACCGUGAGGGAAAGGUGAAAAGCACCCCGGAAGGGGAGUGAAAUAGAACCUGAAACCGUGUGCUUACAAGUAGUCAGAGCCCGUUAAUGGGUGAUGGCGUGCCUUUUGUAGAAUGAACCGGCGAGUUACGAUUUGAUGCAAGGUUAAGCAGUAAAUGUGGAGCCGUAGCGAAAGCGAGUCUGAAUAGGGCGUUUAGUAUUUGGUCGUAGACCCGAAACCAGGUGAUCUACCCUUGGUCAGGUUGAAGUUCAGGUAACACUGAAUGGAGGACCGAACCGACUUACGUUGAAAAGUGAGCGGAUGAACUGAGGGUAGCGGAGAAAUUCCAAUCGAACCUGGAGAUAGCUGGUUCUCUCCGAAAUAGCUUUAGGGCUAGCCUCAAGUGAUGAUUAUUGGAGGUAGAGCACUGUUUGGACGAGGGGCCCCUCUCGGGUUACCGAAUUCAGACAAACUCCGAAUGCCAAUUAAUUUAACUUGGGAGUCAGAACAUGGGUGAUAAGGUCCGUGUUCGAAAGGGAAACAGCCCAGACCACCAGCUAAGGUCCCAAAAUAUAUGUUAAGUGGAAAAGGAUGUGGCGUUGCCCAGACAACUAGGAUGUUGGCUUAGAAGCAGCCAUCAUUUAAAGAGUGCGUAAUAGCUCACUAGUCGAGUGACACUGCGCCGAAAAUGUACCGGGGCUAAACAUAUUACCGAAGCUGUGGAUUGUCCUUUGGACAAUGGUAGGAGAGCGUUCUAAGGGCGUUGAAGCAUGAUCGUAAGGACAUGUGGAGCGCUUAGAAGUGAGAAUGCCGGUGUGAGUAGCGAAAGACGGGUGAGAAUCCCGUCCACCGAUUGACUAAGGUUUCCAGAGGAAGGCUCGUCCGCUCUGGGUUAGUCGGGUCCUAAGCUGAGGCCGACAGGCGUAGGCGAUGGAUAACAGGUUGAUAUUCCUGUACCACCUAUAAUCGUUUUAAUCGAUGGGGGGACGCAGUAGGAUAGGCGAAGCGUGCGAUUGGAUUGCACGUCUAAGCAGUAAGGCUGAGUAUUAGGCAAAUCCGGUACUCGUUAAGGCUGAGCUGUGAUGGGGAGAAGACAUUGUGUCUUCGAGUCGUUGAUUUCACACUGCCGAGAAAAGCCUCUAGAUAGAAAAUAGGUGCCCGUACCGCAAACCGACACAGGUAGUCAAGAUGAGAAUUCUAAGGUGAGCGAGCGAACUCUCGUUAAGGAACUCGGCAAAAUGACCCCGUAACUUCGGGAGAAGGGGUGCUCUUUAGGGUUAACGCCCAGAAGAGCCGCAGUGAAUAGGCCCAAGCGACUGUUUAUCAAAAACACAGGUCUCUGCUAAACCGUAAGGUGAUGUAUAGGGGCUGACGCCUGCCCGGUGCUGGAAGGUUAAGAGGAGUGGUUAGCUUCUGCGAAGCUACGAAUCGAAGCCCCAGUAAACGGCGGCCGUAACUAUAACGGUCCUAAGGUAGCGAAAUUCCUUGUCGGGUAAGUUCCGACCCGCACGAAAGGCGUAACGAUUUGGGCACUGUCUCAACGAGAGACUCGGUGAAAUCAUAGUACCUGUGAAGAUGCAGGUUACCCGCGACAGGACGGAAAGACCCCGUGGAGCUUUACUGUAGCCUGAUAUUGAAAUUCGGCACAGCUUGUACAGGAUAGGUAGGAGCCUUUGAAACGUGAGCGCUAGCUUACGUGGAGGCGCUGGUGGGAUACUACCCUAGCUGUGUUGGCUUUCUAACCCGCACCACUUAUCGUGGUGGGAGACAGUGUCAGGCGGGCAGUUUGACUGGGGCGGUCGCCUCCUAAAAGGUAACGGAGGCGCUCAAAGGUUCCCUCAGAAUGGUUGGAAAUCAUUCAUAGAGUGUAAAGGCAUAAGGGAGCUUGACUGCGAGACCUACAAGUCGAGCAGGGUCGAAAGACGGACUUAGUGAUCCGGUGGUUCCGCAUGGAAGGGCCAUCGCUCAACGGAUAAAAGCUACCCCGGGGAUAACAGGCUUAUCUCCCCCAAGAGUUCACAUCGACGGGGAGGUUUGGCACCUCGAUGUCGGCUCAUCGCAUCCUGGGGCUGUAGUCGGUCCCAAGGGUUGGGCUGUUCGCCCAUUAAAGCGGUACGCGAGCUGGGUUCAGAACGUCGUGAGACAGUUCGGUCCCUAUCCGUCGUGGGCGUAGGAAAUUUGAGAGGAGCU